GUGCUAACCACUGUGCCGCCCGCGUAAGAGGAGAGCCACUGAGGGAACGCCUUCCGCCCUCCAACGCCUCCACCGUGACCUCCACUUCUGAGAGGAAUUGCCCACAGAUCAAGCAUGGAGUGUGCCUGAAUGGACAUACAGAACUCCAAGGUUCGGCCCAGUGUUGAGGGUUUUCCCAAAGGAGAGGGCCCGGCGGGCGGUGCCUCACAGCCCUCUGCCUCUGGGAGUGGCCCCUUUCUACUAAGGAGGCAAGAGGUGGCCAGGAGUCUGUCAGCGAGUUCUGCAUGUCCUGGUGACCCUCCACCUGUUUCACAGUGUCACAGGGCAGCUCGAGCCUAUCCCAGCUAUCUUAGGGCGAGAAGCAGGGUGCACCCUCGACAGGUCACCAGUCUGUUACAGGGCUAACACAUAGACGCAGAAAACCAUUCGCACCUAUCGCCAAUUUACACUCUUCGAUUACCUAUUGCCACUAACUGCAGGUCGUUGGACUGUGGCAGGAAGCCGGAGUACAAGGAAAGAACCCACGCAAAAACAGGAAGAACAUGCAAACUCCACACAGAGCGACGGUAGAGCUGAACUCAAGACCUUCUUCCUGUGCGGUAACGG